UGGGGAAUAUUGGACAAUGGGGGCAACCCUGAUCCAGCCAUGCCGCGUGUGUGAAGAAGGCCUUAGGGUUGUAAAGCACUUUCAGUGGGGAGAAAGGCUUGUUGGCUAAUAACCGACGAGAUUGAUGUUACCCACAGAAGAAGCACCGGCUAACUCCGUGCCAGCAGCCGCGGUAAUACGGAGGGUGCAAGCGUUAAUCGGAAUUACUGGGCGUAAAGCGCACGUAGGCGGUGAGUUUAGCCAGCUGUGAAAUCCCCGGGCUCAACCUGGGAAUUGCAGUUGGAACUGGCUCGCUAGAGUAUGGUAGAGGGGUGUGGAAUUUCAGGUGUAGCGGUGAAAUGCGUAGAUAUCUGAAGGAACAUCAGUGGCGAAGGCGACACCCUGGAUCAAUACUGACGCUGAGGUGCGAAAGCGUGGGGAGCAAACAGG
rnacentral:rRNA from 1 species